CCUACGGGUGGCUGCAGUGGGGAAUCUUGCGCAAUGCGCGAAAGCGUGACGCAGCAACGCCGCGUGGGGGAAGACGGCCUUCGGGUUGUAAACCCCUUUCAGUUGGGACGAAGGUUCGCCGGUGAAUAGCCGUGCGGAUUGACGGUACCUCCACAAGAAGCUCCGGCUAACUACGUGCCAGCAGCCGCGGUAAUACGUAGGGAGCAAGCGUUGUCCGGAAUCAUUGGGCGUAAAGCGCGCGUAGGUGGCUUCGUAAGUCCGCUGUGAAAGUCAAGGGCUCAACCCUUGGAUGCCGGUGGAUACUGUGGAGCUAGAGUACGGAAGAGGCGAGUGGAAUUCCUGGUGUAGCGGUGGAAUGCGCAGAUAUCAGGAGGAACACCAAUAGCGAAGGCAGCUCGCUGGGACGUUACUGACGCUGAGGCGCGAAAGCGUGGGGAGCGAACAGGAUUAGAUACCCUUGUAGUC
rnacentral:rRNA from 1 species